CGGGCAAUGGCCGGCAGGCUACACAUGCAGUCGAACGGUAGCACAGAGGAGCUUGCUCCUUGGGUGACGAGUGGCGGACGGGUGAGUAAUGUCUGGGAAACUGCCCGAUGGAGGGGGAUAACUACUGGAAACGGUAGCUAAUACCGCAUAACGUCGCAAGACCAAAGAGGGGGACCUUCGGGCCUCUUGCCAUCGGAUGUGCCCAGAUGGGAUUAGCUAGUAGGUGGGGUAACGGCUCACCUAGGCGACGAUCCCUAGCUGGUCUGAGAGGAUGACCAGCCACACUGGAACUGAGACACGGUCCAGACUCCUACGGGAGGCAGCAGUGGGGAAUAUUGCACAAUGGGCGCAAGCCUGAUGCAGCCAUGCCGCGUGUAUGAAGAAGGCCUUCGGGUUGUAAAGUACUUUCAGCGAGGAGGAAGGUGUUGUGGUUAAUAACCGCAGCAAUUGACGUUACUCGCAGAAGAAGCACCGGCUAACUCUGUGCCAGCAGCCGCA
rnacentral:rRNA from 1 species